rnacentral:rRNA from 1 species
ACGCACGCUGGCGGCGUGCUUAACACAUGCAAGUCGAACGGAAAGGCCCUGCUUUUGUGGGGUGCUCGAGUGGCGAACGGGUGAGUAACACGUGAGUAACCUGCCCUUGACUUUGGGAUAACUUCAGGAAACUGGGGCUAAUACCGGAUAGGAGCUCCUGCUGCAUGGUGGGGGUUGGAAAGUUUCGGCGGUUGGGGAUGGACUCGCGGCUUAUCAGCUUGUUGGUGGGGUAGUGGCUUACCAAGGCUUUGACGGGUAGCCGGCCUGAGAGGGUGGCCGGCCACAUUGGGACUGAGAUACGGCCCAGACUCCUACGGGAGGCAGCAGUGGGGAAUAUUGCACAAUGGGCGGAAGCCUGAUGCAGCAACGCCGCGUGCGGGAUGACGGCCUUCGGGCUGUAAACCGCUUUCGCCUGUGACGAAGCGUGAGUGACGGUAAUGGGUAAAGAAGCACCGGCUAACUACGUG